rnacentral:rRNA from 1 species
UACGUGCCAGCAGCCNCGGUAAUACGUAGGUCCCGAGCGUUNUCCGGAUUUAUUGGGCGUAAAGGGAGCGCAGGCGGUUUAGUAAGUCUGAAGUUAAAGGCAUUGGCUCAACCAAUGUAUGCUUUGGAAACUGUUAGACUUGAGUGCAGAAGGGGAGAGUGGAAUUCCAUGUGUAGCGGUGAAAUGCGUAGAUAUAUGGAGGAACACCGGUGGCGAAAGCGGCUCUCUGGUCUGUCACUGACGCUGAGGCUCGAAAGCGUGGGUAGCGAACAGGAUUAGAUACCCUGGUAGUCCACGCCGUAAACGCUGAGUGCUAGGUGUUAGGUCCUUUCCGGGACUUAGUGCCGACGCUAACGCAUUAAGCACUCCGCCUGGGGAGUACGACCGCAAGGUUGAAACUCAAAGGAAUUGACGGGGGCCCGCACAAGCGGUGGAGCAUGUGGUUUAAUUCGAAGCAACGCGAAGAACCUUACCAGGUCUUGACAUCCCGAUGCCCGCUCUAGAGAUAGAGUCUUUCUUCGGAACAUCGGAGACAGGUGGUGCAUGGUUGUCGUCAGCUCGUGUCGUGAGAUGUUGGGUUAAGUCCCGCAACGAGCGCAACCCUUAUUGUUAGUUGCCAUCAUUAAGUUGGGCACUCUAGCGAGACUGCCGGUAAUAAACCGGAGGAAGGUGGGGAUGACGUCAAAUCAUCAUGCCCCUUAUGACCUGGGCUACACACGUGCUACAAUGGUUGGUACAACGAGUCGCAAGCCGGUGACGGCAAGCUAAUCUCUGAAAGCCAAUCUCAGUUCGGAUUGUAGGCUGCAACUCGCCUACAUGAAGUCGGAAUCGCUAGUAAUCGCGGAUCAGCACGCCGCGGUGAAUACGUUCCCGGGCCUUGUACACACCGCCCGUCACACCACGAGAGUUUGUAACACCCAAA